rnacentral:rRNA from 1 species
UACGAAGGGUGCAAGCGUUAAUCGGAAUUACUGGGCGUAAAGCGCGCGUAGGUGGUUUGUUAAGUUGGAUGUGAAAGCCCCGGGCUCAACCUGGGAACUGCAUCCAAAACUGGCAAGCUAGAGUAUGGCAGAGGGUGGUGGAAGUUCCUGUGGAGCGGUGACAUGCGUAGAUCUAGGAAGGAACACCAGUGGCGAAGGCGACCACAUGGGCUAAUACUGACACUGAGGUGCGAAAGCGUGGGGAGCAAACAGGAUUAGAUACCCGUGUAGUCC